ensembl:snoRNA
AUCCUUUUCUGGUUCAUAAGAAUGAUGAUUGGGCCUUCACACAUUUGUGUGACAUGAGCCUCCCUUAAAUCUUAUUGCAUACUUGGCACAUUACCCCUCUGAUA